rnacentral:rRNA from 1 species
CUCUAAUGAGACUGCCGGUGACAAACCGGAGGAAGGUGGGGAUGACGCCAAGUCCUCAUGGCCCUUAUGAGCAGGGCUUCACACGUCAUACAAUGGUCGGUACAGAGGGUUGCCAAGCCGCGAGGUGGAGUUAAUCUCAGAAAACCGAUCGUAGUCCGGAUCGCACUCUGCAACUCGAGUGCGUGAAGUCGGAAUCGCUAGUAAUCGCAGAUCAGCAUGCUGCGGUGAAUACGUUCCCGGGUCUUGUACACACCGCCCGUCACACCAUGGGAGUGAGUUUCACCAGAAGUGGGUAGGCUAACCGUAAGGAGGCCGCUUACCACGGUGGGAUUCAUGACUGGGG